CACCCUUGCAGUCAGGCUUCACCUUCAUUGUCCUCCUUUACCAAGAACGAAGGAAAAGUUUCCAUCUGUAGAGCAUGAAAACAAACAUAGGUGGGUAGGAAAGUCAAGCAUCCUUGUCUCAGCAGUGUCCCUCAGUGGCCACAGGCUGGCCUCAAACUGCCCAUUCUCUUGCCUCAGCCAUGACUUAGACUCUUGCAACCUCAGCUUCCUCAGCCGAUGGAUGGAUGGGCUUGGUGAAGCCUAUUUCCUGAGUCGUGAUGAGUGCUGGUUGAGAUGGCCCUAGCUGCCUCUUCGGACUGUGACAGACUCACCCAACAGCAGCACCCUGAACAUUCCACAGCCAGUGGAGCACAGGGGGUUAAGGAUUCAGAACCUUUCUCUCCAACAGAGGAGAAAAUAGUGCCACUUCCGGGGCACUUGAAGGACAGAUUGCUGGGGAUGGGACUGCAAUCGGGCCUCGGAGAGGGAGAAGUGAUUGCUGCCCUCAUUAAUAUUACUGCUGGCAAAGGCUGCGUGGGACUCAAUCAGGUAAUUGAGGUCCCAAAUUUCGUUUUUAUCCAGAUGCCAAGAUUAAUCGAAGUGACUUCUUCAAAUGAAUUCUUCGGAGCUUUCCGUGUGUGUGCCUUAGAGCUGGGAACAGCAAACAAAGCGCUUUGCCAAGUACUGGUGGUCACUACUGAAAGACCAAACAUGAGGAAGUGGUGUGGAAACGCCUGGAUUUAUUAUCAGAGCAAGAUGGAAACACUGGGGCUGGAGAGAUGCCUCAGAGGUUAAGAGCAUUGACUGCUCUUCCAGAGGUCCUGAGUUCAAUUCCCAGCAACCACAUGGUGGCUCACAAGCAUCCGUUAUGAGAUCUGGUGCCCUCUUCUGUUGUGCAGAUAUACAUGGAAGCAGAAUGUUGUAUACAUAAUAAAUAAAUAAAAUCUAAAAAAAAAAAAAAAGAUGGGAACACUCAGCUCUUCCUGCUACUAUACUAUGUCUUCACUCUACCAUCAUGGACUCCAGCCCUCUGAAACCAUAAGGCAAAUUAAACACUUUCUUAUAUUUAUUUGUUUUUAUUUUUUGUAUAUGGGUAUUUUGCCUGCAUGCUUGUAUAUGUACCAUGUGUAUUCCUGGUGCCUGGAGGCCAGACAACAGCAUCGGAUCCCCCAGAACUGGAGUUAUGAGCUGCCAUGUGGGUGCUGGGAAUCAAACCUGGAUCUUCUGCAGAAGCAACCAGUUCUCUCAGCCACUGAUCAAGCUACCUUCACAGCUCCCAAUAUUCUCUUUUUUAUUAUUUCUUUUUAUUUUAUAUGUAUAAAUAUUUUGCCUGCGUGGAUGUAUGUGCACAUGUAGGCACAAAGGCUUCUUGAAGGCAGAGCUUUGGAAUGGAAGUCUCUGGACCAUAGGAGAUUAUCACACUGGCAAGGAAAUACUCAAAGUUGUGAGGUCUUCAAACACUGAGAAACCACAGAGGCAACCAGCUGAC
rnacentral:lncRNA from 1 species